UGGGGAAUUUUGGACAAUGGGGGAAACCCUGAUCCAGCCAUCCCGCGUGUGCGAUGAAGGCCUUCGGGUUGUAAAGCACUUUUGGCAGGAAAGAAACGUCAUGGGUUAAUACCCCGUGAAACUGACGGUACCUGCAGAAUAAGCACCGGCUAACUACGUGCCAGCAGCCGCGGUAAUACGUAGGGUGCAAGCGUUAAUCGGAAUUACUGGGCGUAAAGCGUGCGCAGGCGGUUCGGAAAGAAAGAUGUGAAAUCCCAGAGCUCAACUUUGGAACUGCAUUAUUAACUACCGGGCUAGAGUGUGUCAGAGGGAGGUGGAAUUCCGCGUGUAGCAGUGAAAUGCGUAGAUAUGCGGAGGAACACCGAUGGCGAAGGCAGCCUCCUGGGAUAACACUGACGCUCAUGCACGAAAGCGUGGGGAGCAAACAGG
rnacentral:rRNA from 1 species